rnacentral:rRNA from 1 species
AUACGGAGGGUGCAAGCGUUGUCCGGAUUUAUUGGGUUUAAAGGGUGUGUAGGCGGUGUAUUAAGUCAGUGGUGAAAGCCUGCGGCUCAACCGUAGAACUGCCAUUGAUACUGACACACUUGAGUUUGGUUGAGGUAGGCGGAAUUUAUGGUGUAGCGGUGAAAUGCAUAGAUACCAUAAAGAACACCGAUAGCGAAGGCAGCUUACUAAGCCGAAACUGACGCUGAGGCACGAAAGCGUGGGGAGCGAACAGGAUUAGAAACCCCAGUAGUCC